AAUGCGCACGCAAACUUAUAGCUGGAAUGGCCUAUUCCCGUUCGGUACGCAUAAACUAACAGCAGAAAGUUGGAUCUGUCUUCGAGAACAUGAUACGCGAGGUAUCAUUUCGGUCUAGUGUAACUCUGAGAUAACAAGGUGGUGGCGACAGGUCUAGAAACGUCGCAGAUUGCCAGGGACCUGCAAGGAUCGAAUUACUGGCAAGGCGCUACAUUUGAAAGCACACUAGCGCAGAAAGCAUGUAGUGUAUUGUCAUAUCGUAGAGUAGUAGCCAUGUAAACAUUAUAUAAGUCACGGCAGUCGAAGGGUAAACAAAAUUGAAACACUCACUUAGGAAGAUCGCCCCUAAACUAAAAAAAAACUUCAAAGUAAGGACACAGACAUGAGGACACAAACAUUGAAAUCGAACUCUCGU